rnacentral:lncRNA from 1 species
UUCACUCAUGUUGGGAACUUGUCCUUAAAUGCUAUGAAUUAAGAGCAAGGCAACACAGAAAUCGUUAAACGUUAAAGUCCUUCGUCCUUCGAAGCAUUAUUUCCCUUAGGAUAUAAUGAGUUUUGGACGAAGGUUGUGAAGGACAUACCUUCAUCAGUAUAACAAAUAAUGAAAAAGGGAUUCACAUAAAGUAUGAGAAACAACAUAAAUACUUAAAUAUUAAUAUUAGCUCAUUUAUAUUUUUAUUAUUAUAGAAAUGAUAACAAAUUACAAAUGUACCUUCGGCUUGAAGGAAAGCAAAAGUACAAGCGUGACACAAAAGCGAAUGCCAAGUCAGCGUGAACAGUACGAGAGUAUUGUUCACCUAUUUAUAGGCACGGGUCGCAGCCCAUGUAAAAUUACAUCCAGGCCCUUUGCUUUUGAUAAUAACUCUAUAGUAAUUUAUCGGGGUCUAGAUAGUCUUUUCCUCUUUAAGUUGGUUUCCUCUUUUCUGCCAUCAUGCCGAAGCUUCCUUGCGCACAGCUUCGGCUCUGUUCCAUCCUUCGUUCUCCUUGUGUUUCUUCAUACAACGACUUUGACUUGUCCGAAGGGUCCAUGUCCGAAGGUAACUAUUCAUGUAUUACACUCCAGAAACAUUGUCAAAUCACGUUUUUUAGGACCUUCGGAAGCCGAAGGCCCCCAACAGUAGCCCUCGCAAUAUUAAUUUGUUAGGAUAAUAAAUUUAGAUUGCGAUAUGGACGAAGGCCCUAAGCCAAAGGUCCGAAAAAACACCUUCCUCUUGCUAGAAUAGCAACAAUCAAUGGCAAGCGGGACCCUCCCACUUGCAAUGCCCUGGGUGUAUAAAUAUGUUACUACCGCGAGCUCACUUGGCACGCCUUCUUGCCAUUUGCUUUGCCUGCUCAAACAGCUCUUUGCCCACAAAUACUUGACCAACUUUCUAGAUUUUUAGCUUCGGACCUAAGAGCACAUUUUUAGCAUUUCCGAAGGGAUGUCUCAGGAAAAGAAAGUUGUUGCCGAAAUGAAACUGAGCCUUUCUAAGGAGAAGAACCUGGGCUUUAUUGAAUCGAUAGCGAAGACAAAUACAGAGAAGAUUACUAGGAAGAUUUUAGAAGGUUUAUCUGAAGACACUGGUGAUAGUGACAGUUAUGAUGUGGAAAGUGGUGGGGAAGACUCCGAAGAUCGACCCUGGCGACCAAGUCAUGCAGUUUUUGGAAAAUCAACUAUUAAACAGAGUCAUCUUGAUAAUAUGAGGGGAAGAUAUUUUCGGGACAUGUCUAUUGUAAGGGCUGAUGACGGAGAGAGGACUGUGCCUACUCCCGAAGAGAAUGAAGUUGUGAUCUUCCGAAGCUUUUUUAAAGCUGGGCUUCAGUUUCCAUUAAGAAAAUUUGUGGUUGAGGUUUUAAAGAUUUAUCAAGUCUACCUUCAUCAAAUUACGCCCGAAGCAAUCAUAAGAAUGGGAAUCUUUGUCUGGGUCGUGAAGAGCCAGGGUUUGGAGCCGAAUGCAAAAAGUUUUUGCAAUAUACACGAGCUAGUAUAUGAGACGAAACCCUGGGGUAAAGAGCAAUAUCACAACAAUUUUGGCUGUUAUAGCUUCGGCGCUCGCUUUGGGUCAAGCUGUCCCGUGCUGACUUUUCGGAAGAGGUGGCCCGGAGACUGGAUGAAGGAAUGGUUCUAUGUGAAAAACGACUUGAAAGCACGAGAAGAUAUUAAAGAUAUUAUCAUGCGCCCUAUCUGGCAGCGCUUCGGCCUCCGAAAACCGAAGGUGGGAAUUGACAAGGCAGUCGAAGAAUGCUAGAGGGCCUUCGGCGUAGUUUGCUCUUUCAUUGGGACAAGGGAUUUAGUCCAAGAGCAUAUAGCCUUCAGAGUAUGGCCACUUGUAGAAAAGUGGGAAAUGCCAAAAGAGACUAUCACCAAGCCUGACGAAGGUGGGCUGGUUAGAAUGAAGUUCACUUUCAGAUAUGAGGGUAAAUUUGUCGAACCAAAUGAUGAGUGGCUGAAAUGUAUUGAAGCUACAAGCGAUGAAUUGCUUGGGGCAUACUCAAAGGCAGAAGAUACUACGUUAUCUGCGGCCUUCGGAGGCCGAAAGAAGAAAAGAUUCAACCGAGUUUUUGAUGCUAUUGGGUUUGUCUAUCCUGACUACCGCUACCCGUUACGGGGUCAGAAAAGAAAAGGUACAGUUUCUGUGAAGGAAGUUUUGGCCGCUCCUAGUGAGCCAACGCCGAAGAUAAAAAGGUGAAGGUUCUUACCCACCGGCCACGCUAUAUUGAGCCGGCCACAGUGCCCGAAUUUGUCGGCGAGGCUGCUUCGGCCACUGAAGCCAAAAAACCUAUACCUGCGUAGAAAGAUGAAGAGCUAUCUGCAAUAUCGAAGGCUGAAAGAAUUGAAGAGCCGAAAACUGAAGGGGCAAAAAUAUCAGAAAUUUUAAGCCCUUCAGCAGAAGUUGGAGUGCCACAAACUCAAAAAGGUCCAACUGUGACCCCCAAAAGGAAAAGGAUGGUUAAUGUUUUGGAUGUACUGAAGAUAAUAAAGUCUUCCAGCUCUACUCCUAAAAAAGUUGCCGAAGCUCAAAAAGCACAAAUUGAAACAACAUCCUCUGGAGCCGAAACUACAAAGCACCAGGCUGAAAGCGAAACUGGACCUUCAGAGACUGCCAAGGAGAAAUCCUUGGAAACCGAAGGAGAAAAUACAAAGGAAACUUUGAAGCAAAUUUUGUCUGAAAAAACUCUUUCUUCAACUCCCGAAGCAUCUUCCAAAUUGCCUGAUUAUAUUGUACGACAUGCUUCGGGCAAAAUGCUAUCUGAAGAGGAAAAGCAAGAAGCUCAUCAUUAUGCCCAGAAAUUAAAAUAUCCGAAAGGGGCGUUGAUAUUUAAUGGCAGCGGAGAAGAAGACUUCUUGUAUUGUCUCCCAGACAGCAAGGAGAUCUCUGUCUACCGGGAGAUGGCAAGAAGCUUCGGAUUCCCAACUCUAGAAGAUGGGCUCUCAGUUUUGUCAAAAGAUGAAUUGGCCGACAGCUUAGCGUACAACAGCUUAAAGGUGAGAAAAUAACCUUUUUGCGUGGCUAAAAAUUCGUGUGUUUAUUUCUUAAUACCAUAUUUCUUUUGCAGGGCCUUAUUCUUAGCAACGCCCUCAGAGCGCAGAAAAGCGCUGAAGACGAGGGAUGUACCAUAGCAUUGAAUAACCUUCGUUCCGAAGUGAUUGAGCUAAGGAAUGAAGGUCUUGAGAAAGAUAAAAUAUUAAAUUCAUUGCUUAACAAAAUAAAAGAAGACGAAGCUACUUCCAAGGCCCAAGCUGAAGCCCAGAAAUGCGAAACUGAAAAUCUUUAGAAACAGCUGGCUGAAGCGAAAUUAAAGUGUGCAACUGCCGAAGCUGACCGAGACGCCAGCAAUUACUGGAAGAAUCAUUGGGAGAAAACAACUGCAGAACUUCGGUCUUCAAAAGAAAGAUGUUAUGAAAAAUCCAUGAAAUGUGUGGAAACAAUUAAGACUAGUUUCGCCAGCGUCGGCGCAUUUUCGAGUGAAAGCAACUUCGUACUGGGAGAUCCCGAAGGUCCAAUCGACUGGAUCAACGGCGAGGCCGAAGCUUUUGAAGAAAUUUUGAGUGGCCGUGGGGACAUAUGCGCCUUCUCGGGUGCUAGGGGGAUAGCCGCUAUCUUGGAAAGGAGAGGUUGCGAACAUGUGAAAUCCUUGGCGCAGACCGAGGCUGUCUUAUGCAUUGAAGAUAUAAAAGACCCCUCAGCCGAAGCAAGCUUGGUUGGUGGAAAAUUUUUCACCGACAUCUGGGAGAAUGGCGGUCGGGAGAUGGCUCAAGAAAUUAUAAGGAAAAGUGAAAAAGGUAUUCACGAUGCUAGAGAAGUAGCAAAGGCCGCCGAGAAAAGUGUGGAUCUUGAAAGGCGAAUAGGUAUUAAUUAAUGGCUUUUGACUUUAUGUUCUAAUUUUAUAACUUCGAACUUAUUUACGGUUUGCAACACAGCCGCACUGUCUCCUCCCCCAGAGCCCGCCGAGCCAUUGGCGGACCCCAAAGCAAAGGAGGAUGAUGAAUUUAGAAAAAUGGCCGAAGCUAUUAUGGAUAAAGUUGUUGAUCAACUAUUUAACGAAGCUGCAGAAGUAGUUUUAAGAGAAGAUUAGCUGUUAUUGCAAAGACAUUUGAAAUGUAAUAUUUGCUGGACAAUGUGUGUAACAUUUUAUAAUUUUGAAUGUAAUAUAUAAGCUGUUUAUAAUUCAAAUCUUUACGAUGCAUGAAACUUUACGUACAUACCGUUUUUGAGCCUUCGGCGAAAAAAAACACCUUCCCUUCUUUUCAUGCUUCGUGAAGAAUGUCCAUAUUCCGUAAAAAUAUACAAUUCCGAAAAAAUAUUAUGCUUUGUGAACAAUGGAUCUCCUUUUCAUAUCAAAGUGAUGAAGUUGUAUUUCUUGAAAACUUAUUUUGUGCCUUGGCACUUCUUCGAAACAAUCUCCGAAGCUCAAUAUUGUAGGUCAACAUUGUUUACUUUUCCGAAGGUCAACAUUGCAUCCCCUUCUUGUGCCAUUGAGGCAAUAUGAUGUAUGAUGCUAUGCUAUGCACAUGAUGUAAUGAUGUAAUUACAUGCAAAAUGAUAUUUGCGCCGAAGGCCUACACACAUCCCCCAGUGGAGCAUACAAUCUUUUUGCCGUUUUUCGGUAUAUCAGCGUUGACUUUUCGCUGUAAGCCUCCCUUAGGAGCUUCUUCGCCUUCUAUUUCGGCAGUAUCAGCAUUUAUUUUUUGCUGUAAGCCUCCCUUAGGAGCUUCUUCGCCUUCUAUUUCGGCGGUAUCAGCGUUUAUUUUUUGCUAUAAGCUCUGCAUUCCCUUUGGAACGACUUUUGAGCAGAAAACUUACACUGCGUUCCCUUAAGAACUUUUUUGUUGCUUCGGCAAUAGCUUGCAAUGCAUUCCUUCGUGAAGACCUUUAGAACUUCGUCGACGUUUGAAGAAGAUAUAUUCAUUAUGAUAAUGACGAAGCUAUUACAAGAAAUUGAAAAUAACAAAGGAACUAAGUUUUCAAUGAUUUAUCUUUAUUGAAAAGGUAAAUGAUAACAAAUGUAAAAACUGUUUCAGAAGUAGGAUAUAUCUUAGUAGAUGUGCUUUGAUUCUGGCACAGUACUGUUGACUGUGCGAGCUUCGGACUGCUCCCUGAAAUCUCUCUGUUGAUGAUUGUGCUGGCUCCCUUCUGGCUGCUGGCCUUGGGGAUAAGCGAGUUGCAUUGGUGGUGGAGGUGGGGGCUGUUGCCAAGAUGCCUGAGGUUGGCUUGCCAAAACAACGAAAACUGCAGGAUGGUUACCCACAUACUCUGGAAUGUAUGGUGAGUGGUACGAAGCAGUAUGCAUAACCUGCUUCGGCUGGCUCUGUUGAGCUGUAGCUUCUGCUAUCUCUUUCUAUAUUUGAAUGGUGACAUGGCACAUCCUGGUAGUAUGGCCCUUGUCCUCACCACAAAAUAGGCAGUAAAUUUUUCUGGGCUGAUCCCCAAACCUUCCUCCGAAGCCCCUUGCGCCUCUGCCCCUUGGAGCUAGGGGCCGAGGAUAAUUCUGUUGCUGCCCCGAAGCCUGGGAGGAAUACUGCGGCCUUUGUUGCUGACUUCCCCUAUCGUCAGUCUGAGUAGAAUGGAUAGAUCUGACGUGCCUAGGGUGGAUUCUCCCUCCGAAGCCCCUGGUCAUUUCGGAGAACCUGUAAGCUUCCUCCCUUCUUUGCCGAAAGUCAUUAUCUGCUCGGAUGUAUUCAUCCAUCUUCUGAAGCAGUUUCUCCAGGGUCUGUGGGGGUUUCCUGGCGAAGUAUUGGGUUGUAGGUCCUGGCCGAAGCCCCUUAAUCAUGGCCUCAAUAACAAUUUCAUUAGGCACUGUUGGCGCCUGCGCCCUCAGUCGUAAGAACCUUCGGACAUACGCCUGAAGGUAUUCUUCAUGAUCCUGAGUGCACUGGAACAAAGCUUGAGCGGUGACCGGCUUCAUCUGAAACCCUUGAAAGCUAGUGAUGAGCAUGUCCUUCAGCUUUUGCCACGAUGUGAUUGUUCCUGGCCGAAGAGAAGAGUACCAGGUCUAUGCAACAUUUUGACUGCCAUGACGAAGGAUUUAGCCAUGACUGCAGUGUUGCCACCAUAUGAAGAUAUGGUUGCUUCGUAGCUCAUCAGAAAUUGCUUAGGAUCUGAGUGUCUGUCAUACAUUGGGAGCUGGGGUAGUUUAUAAGACGGGGGCCAAGGUGUAGCCUGCAGUUCUGCUGACAGAGGAGAAGCAUCAUCAAAAGCAAAAUUUCCAUGAUGGAAAUCCUCAUACUAGUCAUCCUCGUUGACGAAGCCUUCUUGGUGAAGCUCUCUGUACUGGGGCCUCCGGUUCUGCUCAUCUUGCGUAAGAUGACGAACUUCUUCAGAGGCUUCGUCUAUCUGCCUUUGAAGAUCAGCUAGCCGGGCCAUCUUUUCUUUCUUCCUUUGCACUUGUUGAUGCAGCAUCUCCAUGUUCCUGAUUUCUUGGUCCAAAUCGUCCUCCUGAGGCGUUGGACUGGUGGCCUUCCUCUUCUGACUUCGGGCUUCCCGAAGAGAAAGGGUCUCCUGGUUCGGGUCCAGCGGCUGCAGAGCGGCAACCCCUGUUGCUGAAGCUUUCUUUGGCGGCAUGACGAAGGUCGAUGCUUGCCGAAGGUGGUCAAAAAGGGUUCACCAGAGGUGGGCGCCAAUGUUGGGGACUUGUCCUUAAAUGCUAUGAAUUAAGAACAAGGCAACACAGAAAUCGUUAAAGUCCUUCGUCCUUCGAAGCAUUAUUUCCCUUAGGAUAUAAUGAGUUUCGGACGAAGGUUGUGAAGGACAUACCUUCAUCAGUAUAACAAAUAAUGAAAAAGGGAUUCACAUAAAGUAUGAGAAACAACAUAAAUACUUAAAUAUUAAUAUUAGCUCAUUUCUAUUUUUAUUAUUAUAGAAAUGAUA